CCUACGGGCGGCAGCAGUCGAGAAUCAUUCACAAUGGGGGAAACCCUGAUGGUGCGACGCCGCGUGGGGGAAUGAAGGUCUUCGGAUUGUAAACCCCUGUCAUGUGGGAGCAAAUUAAAAAGAUAGUACCACAAGAGGAAGAGACGGCUAACUCUGUGCCAGCAGCCGCGGUAAUACAGAGGUCUCAAGCGUUGUUCGGAAUCACUGGGCGUAAAGCGUGCGUAGGCUGUUUCGUAAGUCGUGUGUGAAAGGCGCGGGCUCAACCCGCAGACGGCACAUGAUACUGCGAGACUAGAGUAAUGGAGGGGGAACCGGAAUUCUCGGUGUAGCAGUGAAAUGCGUAGAUAUCGAGAGGAACACUCGUGGCGAAGGCGGGUUCCUGGACAUUAACUGACGCUGAGGCACGAAGGCCAGGGAGCGAAAGGGAUUAGAUACCCCUGUAGUC
rnacentral:rRNA from 1 species